GAGAAAAUUAAAUUUUUUGUAUUUUUUUUUUUGAAAUUUGGGGGGAGGGGUUACUCCAGCCCACGCCAUGCGGACGUCCCUGUUGACAUGUGCCACUAUUUUCUCAUUCUAUUAUGACUGUAAUAAUUAUUAUAAUUCUAAUGUUAUUUACAACUAAGAAUAUAUAUUUGUUAGGCAAAUUUGUAUGUAUGUCUGUAUGAUAAAAGUCACCGGGUGAACUGUACAUAGUGCUCCUUGAUAUAAAUGAUAUACAUUUUUUUUAAAUAAAAAAAAAUUAUGUAGUCGUAUUAAUAAAAUAUUACAGUCCUAUGCAUGUAUAACAACUGUUUUUGUUUGUCUUUGUUAUCAGAAUGCAUAUGAAUGGAAGGUUCGAAAAUAAUGCAAACCACAGGUACACUGAAAACAAAACAAAAAUGCAAAAAUUAACGAGGUAACUCUGACAAAUUGGAAAUGAAGAUUAGCUGUCAUGACGUUAUAUUAGAUUAGCUGUGAACAGCACUGAGAGGGUUGGUUAUAAAGUUUUAAUACAAAUCCGGGUCGAGACAAAAACAUUUGCAAAAAUUACUUCAAAGUCUACCCUAAACUUUAGUCUUAGUCUUACAAGGACUUUUUAUCAUUUCCAUGAUCAUAACGUUCCAAACAAGUUUGAAUGACUCUCCAAUUGUUUAAAUUUGAGAAAAGUAUUUGCUCCCUAAAAUGGUAAAUCUCUCAAUAAAGUAUUGGAUUCAAUAUUAUGUCGAACGUCAAAGAACAAUUCCUUUGUCAUCAUCAAGGCCCCAAAGAAGACAUUCCAAAUUGUUUAAAUAUGUAAUUGUGAUGGAUUUAAGUGUAUUUAUUCUACGACUCAUUGUACCAAGAAUUCCAAUAUUACUUAUUUGUCUCAUGAAUAAUUCUAACUUGUUUUAUUUAAAAUAUGUAACAGGAUUAAAUAAAUAUAACAAUUUGAUUUCAUUCUAUAUAUGAACAAUAUACAAUGAUGCAUGUCUCCUA
rnacentral:lncRNA from 1 species